GACGAACGCUGGCGGCGUGCCUAAUACAUGCAAGUCGAGCGAGCGGACCUAACCGAUUUACUUCGGUAAUGACGUUAGGAAAGCGAGCGGCGGAUGGGUGAGUAACACGUGGGGAACCUGCCCCAUAGUCUGGGAUACCACUUGGAAACAGGUGCUAAUACCGGAUAAGAAAGCAGAUCGCAUGAUCAGCUUUUAAAAGGCGGCGUAAGCUGUCGCUAUGGGAUGGCCCCGCGGUGCAUUAGCUAGUUGGUAAGGUAAAGGCUUACCAAGGCGAUGAUGCAUAGCCGAGUUGAGAGACUGAUCGGCCACAUUGGGACUGAGACACGGCCCAAACUCCUACGGGAGGCAGCAGUAGGGAAUCUUCCACAAUGGACGCAAGUCUGAUGGAGCAACGCCGCGUGAGUGAAGAAGGUUUUCGGAUCGUAAAGCUCUGUUGUUGGUGAAGAAGGAUAGAGGUAGUAACUGGCCUUUAUUUGACGGUAAUCAACCAGAAAGUCACGGCUAACUACGUG
rnacentral:rRNA from 1 species